ACCUUGCUGAAGAGUGCCAAAUAGCAGGAAACCUGGGUCCAGGCU
rfam:Schistosoma margrebowiei strain Zambia genome assembly, scaffold: SMRZ_scaffold0000769